UCUGUUAAAGGUGGUGUAGUCAGGAUCUGAGUUAGUUCCAGUUUUUAGGAGAAAUCUUGAAUGUAAACUCUACCCCUCCCAACCAGUUUUCCCCUCAGCUCCUCCUCUCCCCUCCCUCUCUUAAGCCCCGCCCACAAACAGACGCUCCUGCUCGCUCGUAUCGUUCCAAUUAAAUUCAGAUAUAAUGCAGAUAAAUACUUCAGAUCAUUACAAAUGGGGCCCAGUCAAGGUGAAAGUCAAAAGCAUUGGUGCUACUGUAGAUGCCAACAGACUACCAGCAAACACAAUGUUUGCAGGACUUCUACAACGAGGAUAAAGUGACAUAGUCCAGGACCCGAGGGAGGACAGUUUAGCGAUGGCGCUACAACACGCUACAGCAGGUCCGUUUGACAAGAAACACUUCUGUUACAGACACUUGUCUUACUUUGUUAAAGCGGUUUACCUGUCCAGCAGAAAGGUUACAGGGUCACCAAGAUCCCCAAGCGUCCCCCAUCGUUUAUGUUGACCCGGCUCUUUAGCUCUUGUCCGGUCUACCUCCGUUUUAAGCGCCCGUUAUUCCUCCAGAGUCUCCGGUAUUUACUUUGUUUUCUUGCUUGUGUUUUCCGUACUCUCUGGUUGGUUUCUAAGUUCAGUACUGCC
rnacentral:lncRNA from 1 species